AGGCCGGAUAGUAGUGAAAUCGGUAGCGCACGGUUCUCAACAAAACUAGAUGAGCGUCGAUAGGAGUCGUGUUUUCCAGGAACCUCAUUUUUUUCAUUGAAAAAACGAUGCACGUUGAUAGCGCGAGGAUUUGUGAAUCUGGAAAGGCUCGAAUGAAGAAACCAGUUCGGAUGAACAGAACGUAGGACGAGCACGAGCGAGAUGACGCACAAUGAGUAUGGACACGAAAUGAGAGGUGGAGAUGAGACUGAGAGUAAAAAAUGAGUGACGAGUUCGAAAUAAGUAAAUGAGAACGAAAAUGAAUUCUACGUUUGUACGAAGAUACUUUCUUUCGAAAAAUAAAAUCAGACAAGAAAGUUAUUGGUAGAUCGAUUUACAUACUCGAUGUCUAUGCUUGAGAAAUGAUAUUCGUCUAUCGUGAAGGCUGACUCGCAAAGUUUCCUGGGAUAACUCGUAAUCACGUCGUUCCCAAUGACCAACGUGGAUCAACGAAGGAAGCUCGAACUCGGUGUGAUCGAUAAAAGUGGGGUUGCGGAGCUCUACUGGAGUUUCAAUGGAAAAACGAAUCGGGAGGAAGAGAAAAACAUGGGAAAGGGAUCGACGAAUGGGAAGGAAAAAGAAGAAGAGCCCGAGAGGAGAAAAAGAGAAACAUUUUGACUGUUUUGUGCCGGAAUAAUGGAGUCGCUUAAGUCUCACUACUCAUUUGAGCAGACUGCGGAGCAAACUUCAGCCUCGUUAGCAUCCUGUUGCCUGCAGCUGCGAACGUGCACUCGAUGAGAUAGGGACGUUUGCAGUGGUGACGACAGCGAUCAGCAGAACGGAAGGAGACGGAGAAGUGCAAGUACGGAGAGAUGGCAGAACAUAAAAACAGUAAAGCUGGGAGAAAGAGGCCAAGCCGCUCGGGAAGAGAGCGAGAGAGAGAAGCACAAGUUUUAUAUACGCGUAUAGGUAAAGGGAGUAGAAACGAGAAAGGGAGAAAGGGAGAGAGCAAGGAAAGAGGCGAGUGGGUGUGCGUGUGUAUCCUGAUACACGGUAGAGUGCUUUUGAAGCGAGUGCAGUAGACUGACGAAGCUCCGACGUGCACGGUCUGGUGAUUAGCGCCGCCCCCCGGGGACGGUAACCGCCAAUCGGUGGACGGCGUCGGGACGCCGACGUCAGGGCUCGCCGCACAAUCGCGGGCUCCGCAGAAACGCGGAUAGUGGGAUAGGGGACACAAGCAGAGCCACGACAAAAAUCAAUCACCGCUUGUGCUCCGGCUUUCAUGUACACGCGAUGCUGUGCCGCUGGAUUCCAUCUCGCAUCUCCGACUCUACUUCCACUUCGUUCAUCGGAGUUUCAUUUGAAACUCACUCUCAUCGCUCGCCUCCUCCGAGUGCUGCACGACGACACGAAAAUUUUAUGACUCCAUGUUAAGUGUAAAACAACAUGACGGCAAAGUUUUGCGAUCCUUCCCCAAACGACGAUACGUGACGAGAAAUUUUCAACUUUCGUUUCGCGAUUACGAAUGCGCGAUUUAUUUCAUGAGUCAUAACGACCCGCACGACGAUGCGCGCAUCGAGGUUUGCAAAAACUUGCGAAAAAAUGGUAACCAUCUUUGGAGUAAUAUGCGACAAAUGAUCCGUGCAUAAGUUCUCACUGUCACGUUAUUGUAAUGCCAAUAAUUAUGUCAAUAAAGUAUUUCGUACGACCUCCUUCCCCCGACA